UACGGAGGGUGCAAGCGUUAUCCGGAUUCACUGGGCUUAAAGGGUGCGUAGGUGGGGAGGUAAGUCAGCGGUGAAAUCCCCGAGCUUAACUUGGGAACUGCCAUUGAUACUAUCUCUCUUGAAUACCUUGGAGGUGAGCGGAAUAUGUCAUGUAGCGGUGAAAUGCUUAGAUAUGACAUAGAACACCAAUUGCGAAGGCAGCUCACUACACGGUCAUUGACACUGAGGCACGAAAGCGUGGGGAUCAAACAGG
rnacentral:rRNA from 1 species